rnacentral:rRNA from 1 species
UACAGAGACUGCAAGCGUUAUUCGGAUUCACUGGGCGUAAAGGGUGCGCAGGCGGCCAAGUGUGUUAGGCGUGAAAGCCCGGGGCUUAACCUCGGAAUUGCACCUAAAUCUACAUGGCUAGAGCAUUGGAGAGGGUAGCGGAAUUCACGGUGUAGCAGUGAAAUGCGUAGAUAUCGUGAGGAACACCAGAGGCGAAGGCGGCUACCUGGACAAUUGCUGACGCUCAGGCACGAAAGCGUGGGGAGCAAAAGGG